rnacentral:rRNA from 1 species
UACGUAGGGCGCAAGCGUUGUCCGGAAUUACUGGGCGUAAAGGGCGCGUAGGCGGCCUGCUAAGUCGAACGUGAAAUCCCCGGGCUCAACCCGGGAACUGCGUCCGAUACUGGCAGGCUUGGAUCCGGGAGAGGGAUGCGGAAUUCCAGGUGUAGCGGUGAAAUGCGUAGAUAUCAGGAGGAACACCGGCGGUGUAGACGGCUUUCUGGACCGUAGCUGACGCUGAGACACGAAAGCGUGGGUAGCAAACAGG